rnacentral:rRNA from 1 species
UCCAGACUCCUACGGGAGGCAGCAGUCGGGAAUAUUGCGCAAUGGAGGAAACUCUGACGCAGUGACGCCGCGUGCAGGAAGAAGGUUUUCGGAUUGUAAACUGCUUUAGACAGGGAAGAUAAUGACAGUACCUGUAGAAUAAGCUCCGGCUAACUACGUGCCAGCAGCCGCGGUAAUACGUAGGGAGCAAGCGUUAUCCGGAUUUACUGGGUGUAAAGGGAGCGUAGACGGCAGUGCAAGUCUGGAGUGAAAGGCGGGGGCUCAACCCCCGGACUGCUCUGGAAACUGUACGGCUGGAGUGCAGGAGAGGUAAGUGGAAUUCCUAGUGUAGCGGUGAAAUGCGUAGAUAUUAGGAGGAACACCAGUGGCGAAGGCGGCUUACUGGACUGUAACUGACGUUGAGGCUCGAAAGCGUGGGGAGCAAACAGGAUUAGAUACCCCAGUA